AACCUCCGCAAUGUGAGAAAUCGCGACGGGGGGAUCCCAAGUGCCAUUCUUAACGGGAUGGCUUUUCAUUAGUGUAAAGAGCUUUUGGAAUAAGGGCUGGGCAAGACCGGUGCCAGCCGCCGCGGUAACACCGGCAGCUCUAGUGGUAGCAGUUUUUAUUGGGCCUAAAGCGUCCGUAGCCGGUUUAAUAAGUCUCUGGUGAAAUCCUGUAGCUUAACUGUGGGAAUUGCUGGAGAUACUAUUAGACUUGAGACCGGGAGAGGUUAGAGGUACUCCCAGGGUAGAGGUGAAAUUCUGUAAUCCUGGGAGGACCGCCUGUUGCGAAGGCGUCUAACUGGAACGGUUCUGACGGUGAGGGACGAAAGUUAGGGGCGCGAACCGGAUUAGAUACCCGGGUAGUCCUAACUGUAAACGAUGCGGACUUGGUGUUGGGGUGGCUUUGAGCCGCUCCAGUGCCGAAGGGAAGCUGUUAAGUCCGCCGCCUGGGAAGUACGGUCGCAAGACUGAAACUUAAAGGAAUU
rnacentral:rRNA from 1 species